rnacentral:rRNA from 1 species
GACAGAGGGUGCAAACGUUGUUCGGAAUUACUGGGCGUAAAGCGUGUGUAGGCGGUCUGCUAAGUCGGGUGUGAAAGCCCUGGGCUCAACCCAGGAAGUGCACUCGAAACUGGCAGGCUAGAGUACUGGAGAGGUUGGUGGAAUUCUCGGUGUAGAGGUGAAAUUCGUAGAUAUCGAGAGGAACACCGGUGGCGAAGGCGGCCAACUGGACAGAUACUGACGCUGAGACACGAAAGCGUGGGGAGCGAACAGG